rnacentral:rRNA from 1 species
CACGGGGGGAGCAAGCGUUGUUCGGAAUCACUGGGCGUAAAGGGCGUCUAGGCGGUCAGAUAAGUGGGAUGUGAAAUGCCCCGGCUCACCCGGGGACCGGCAUCCCAAACUGUCUGGCUUGAGUAUGGGAGAGGAUGUGGGAAUUCCUGGUGUAGCGGUGAAAUGCGUAGAUAUCAGGAGGAACACCGGUGGCGAAGGCGGGUCUCUGGGCCGAUAUUGACGCUGAGGAGCGAAAGCGUGGGGAGCAAACAGG